AAAUUAUAUGUUCUGAUUUGUCGAGAGCGUCGUAUUCAAAACGACAAGGCGCAAUGACCCUACACUCACAUGAAACUGCAGUGCUAGUUCGUAGUUCCACGAGAACGUGAGGAGGAUAUUAUAUUAUUUUCUUACAAAUAAACUGGUGCGGACAAUGUGAAAGUAAAGAUAUUACUAUAAACUGAAAAGUAUGAAAUUAUGAAGACUACCCGUCUUCUUUGCUUCACUUUCCGAAUUUGGCAUGCCCCAAGGCCCUAACCACCACCACCUUCUUUCCCUCACAUAAUUUAUUUCUAUGAUGUUUCAUUUACAUGGCUUGCUUUUCUAAAACGAAGUACUAUAUUCUAUAUAGUCGAGUACUAUAAGUUUGUCUACCAUGUUAUAUGAAACUCGUCCCAACAUAUAUGGUUUUAUGUGCAUCGACUUGCGACUUUUUCCUUUUUCUUUAUUUUCUUGGAUUGGAUACAACGAGGAUGGUUUGGUCAGUGUUCGGUCUAGUUCUUUAUUUUUAUUUUCUUUUGCAUGUCUGGUAGUGAAAACGUUGGAAACAUAGACGCGAGCUUUCAUUUUCUUUAACAAUUUCCGAUUUCUUAAAAAGAUAUGUUAGUGCCGUUAUGGGUCCUUUAUUUUGAUGAGGUGGAUAAGCCACAAGUGUAAUUGAACCCUGGAUUAGUGGGAAGUAGUUGAGCAACACAAGAAAUAGCUAUGUCAAUGGCUCAAUGCAUGAUUAAUUAUUGAUUAUUUUAUGAUUGAAUAGAUAAUAUUACAUUGUUAAACUCAUGAUAGGUUAAAG
rnacentral:lncRNA from 1 species